ensembl:misc_RNA Metazoa_SRP Metazoan signal recognition particle RNA
GCCGGGCAUGGUGGCACAUGCCUGUAGUCCCAGCUACCUGGAAGGCUGAGGCGGGAGGAUCGCUUGAGCCCAGGAGUUGGAGGCUGCAGUGAGCUGUGAUCUGGCCACUGCACUCCAGCCUGGGUGACAAAGCAAGACCCCGUCUCAA